rnacentral:siRNA from 1 species
ACCGUUCUCACGAGCAAAUGGUU